GAAUCUGUGCAAAUCCAAACAUAAGAUCCUCUAAACGUGCUCGCGCUUAGCUUUACCGCUAGCACAAGAUCCGGUCAUCAAAACAAGCGUCAUAUUAUCCCUCGAACAAGCCAACAUUGUUGCAUUUAUCCUCAAGACACAUAAUACAUCCACAGGAAUUAACGUGAUAAUGUUUGUUUGGCUGUUUUUUAGUAAAAACAUUCUUACCGUUCAUCGAUAUCAUCGGGACAGCUGUCACCUCACGCUCAUUCGCCUCAGUUGGUUCUGCGCAUGCGCACUGAGGCUCAGCGCUGUAUUGACAGCAGCUCGUGCGGUUGAAAUGGGACCGACUGCACGAGGACAUUUGGGCAUCAGAGGCCGCCACUACUUGCAGGAAUCAAUGAAGGUCUGUGCGAUGACGGAGAGGACGGGGUCCACACUAUCAGUCACCUGCACGUCAAAGACGAACUGAGGAUUCUUCAAGAUGUUGACCCAGAAACGCAAGGAUGUGAACGGUCUCCGGGUCGUCGAUGCCGUGCUUCUCAGCCAUAUCGUCCAGAAAGUCAAAGAAGAAUCUGACGGCGAUGGGUGGAG